AUUGAACGCUGCGGCAGGCCUAACACCUGCAAGUCGAGCGGAUGAAGGGAGCUUGCUCCUGGAUUCAGCGGCGGACGGGUGAGUAAUGCCUAGGAAUCUGCCUGGUAGUGGGGGAUAACGUCCGGAAACGGGCGCUAAUACCGCAUACGUCCUGAGGGAGAAAGUGGGGGAUCUUCGGACCUCACGCUAUCAGAUGAGCCUAGGUCGGAUUAGCUAGUUGGUGGGGUAAAGGCCUACCAAGGCGACGAUCCGUAACUGGUCUGAGAGGAUGAUCAGUCACACUGGAACUGAGACACGGUCCAGACUCCUACGGGAGGCAGCAGUGGGGAAUAUUGGACAAUGGGCGAAAGCCUGAUCCAGCCAUGCCGCGUGUGUGAAGAAGGUCUUCGGAUUGUAAAGCACUUUAAGUUGGGAGGAAGGGCAGUAAGUUAAUACCUUGCUGUUUUGACGUUACCAACAGAAUAAGCACCGGCUAACUUCGUG
rnacentral:rRNA from 1 species